GUACACGCUGUGACUAGCAUAUCAAUAAGCGGAGGAAAAGAAACUAACAAGGAUUCCCUUAGUAACGGCGAGUGAAGCGGGAAGAGCUCAAAUUUGAAAUCUUAAAGGGUUUCCCUUUACGAAUUGUAGUUUAAAGAAGUGUUUUCUGUUGAGGUUUUGGUAAAAGUUCUUUGGAAUAGGACAUCAUAGAGGGUGAGAAUCCCGUAUUUGACCUUUACUUUCAACUUUGUGAUACACUUUCAAAGAGUCGGAUUGUUUGGGAAUGCAGUCCAAAAUGGGUGGUAAAUUUCAUCUAAAGCUAAAUAUUGGCGAGAGACCGAUAGCGAACAAGUACCGUGAGGGAAAGAUGAAAAGAACUUUGAAAAGAGAGUUAAACAGUACGUGAAAUUGUCAAAAGGGAAGCGUUUGACACCAGUGUUGUUUUCUGAAAAUCAAUUAAAGAACUGUUUAUGCUAAGUUGUUUAGACUUUAUCAGCUAUCUGUUUAGUUUUGAGCUUUUCUUUAAUGCACUUUUCAGUUAACAAGUCAACAUCAAUUUCUUUUGCUGUAAUAAAGCUUGAGGAAGGUGGCUUGAGAUUCGUCUUAAGUGUUUAUAGCCUCUUGCCUAUGCAGUCGGAGAGAUUGAGGUCUGCAGCGUAGAUCCUUCGGGGCUAAAUGCAUUUGUGCUAAGUUAUAGCAUUUUAUAGACAACUUGUUGACUAUGAUUUGUCUUGUAGCUUACUCGCUUAUGUUAUUUUACCUACGCUUAGGAUGUUGAAGAUGUAGCACAUCA
rnacentral:rRNA from 1 species